GACGAACGCUGGCGGCGUGCUUAACACAUGCAAGUCGAGCGGUAAGGCCCUUUCGGGGGUACACGAGCGGCGAACGGGUGAGUAACACGUGGGUGACCUGCCUCUAGCUCUGGGAUAAGCCUGGGAAGCUGGGUCUAAUACCGGAUAUGACCUCGCGGUGCAUGUUGCGGGGUGGAAAGCCUUGUGCGGCUAGGGAUGGGCCCGCGGCCUAUCAGCUUGUUGGUGGGGUGANGGCCUACCAAGGCGACGACGGGUAGCCGGCCUGAGAGGGCGACCGGCCACACUGGGACUGAGACACGGCCCAGACUCCUACGGGAGGCAGCAGUGGGGAAUCUUGCGCAAUGGGCGAAAGCCUGACGCAGCGACGCCGCGUGAGGGAUGACGGCCUGGUUGUAA
rnacentral:rRNA from 1 species